UCCGAAUUGGUGUAGUGGCUAACAUUUGACGCUCUCAUGUUUCGUGCAACAACGAACAUGUGCCGUCAAGCCCGGGGUUCGAUUCCCCGAUUCGGAG